GACGAACGCUGGCGGCGUGCUUAACACAUGCAAGUCGAACGGAAAGGCCCUGCUUGCAGGGUACUCGAGUGGCGAACGGGUGAGUAACACGUGGGUGAUCUGCCCUUCACUUCGGGAUAAGCCUGGGAAACUGGGUCUAAUACCGGAUAGGAGCCAUUUUUAGUGUGAUGGUUGGAAAGUUUUUUCGGUGUAGGAUGAGCUCGCGGCCUAUCAGCUUGUUGGUGGGGUAAUGGCCUACCAAGGCGGCGACGGGUAGCCGGCCUGAGAGGGUGGACGGCCACAUUGGGACUGAGAUACGGCCCAGACUCCUACGGGAGGCAGCAGUGGGGAAUAUUGCACAAUGGGCGCAAGCCUGAUGCAGCGACGCCGCGUGGGGGAUGACGGCCUUCGGGUUGUAAAAUCCUUUCGCUAGGGACGAAGCUUUUUGUGACGGUACCUAGAUAAGAAGCACCGGCUAACUACGUG
rnacentral:rRNA from 1 species